rnacentral:misc_RNA from 1 species
UUAAAAUAUAUUAAAUUUAAUUUUUAAUAUUUUUAAUUAAUAUGAUUAAAACUCUUAACAGUAAUAUCAAAUAUAUACUUCAUAUUCAGUUCUGUAGUUGUACCAACUACCAACUCAACAAACUUUAAGAUAAAGCUACAACUAGCAGAGAAUAAGGGAAAAUAUAUAUAUAAUCAAUUAUAAUUAUAACAUUAAUUUACAUUCACACAAGAUAAAUAAAUAGGUUGGUUAUUUUCAUUUAUUGAAAUAAUAAGAUUUUUAGUUCUGAAGGAGCAUUAUUUAUUUGUAUAUUUAAUGUUUAAAGAGAAAAAUGUCACUACGUUGAGCCUCACAAAAUUGCUAUUUUUUUUAAAGAUGCAUAGAGAAAUUUUAAAUUUGACCUCAUUUAUUUAUUUAUUUAAAAAUAUAUUACUAUAUAAUUUAUUAAUUAUUACUCAAGUUAUUAAUUCAUUAUAAAAUUUUUUUAAAAAAAAUCUAUCCACAUCUAAUAUUUUUAUGAGCCCAGCCAGAAGAAUUCUAGGGCAUGUAUUUUUAAAUAUAGUGUUAAUUAACUCCAUUUAUACCGUUAGAUUCAUGCAUUAACUUUAAAUUCUUAAAAAAAAGAAGCUGGGCUGUCUAAAUAUAACAUAUUUUUUGUGAGCAUGUUUUAUAGGGUUAAAAUUAUUUUUUUUAAUUUAGUGACUUUUUUUAAUAAAUUAUUUGUAACAAAAUAAUUUAAUUAAAUUUUCAUAUAAUUAUAUCUUUUUUUUAAUAUUUUUUUUAAUUAUAUAUAAACUUUUAAUUAUUUUUAAAUUGUAAAUGAUAUAAAAACGAUUUCAUUGAUUGAGUAGAAAAUGAAGAGGUAAAUUAAAUUUAUUUUAAAAAAUUACGCUUUAUUUUUGGCAAGGAAUAAAGGGGUGAAAAGUUGACUCCUUUGCCUCUUGUCACUCCAAAAAAAUAGGAGAAGACUAAGGCCGCACAGUUUAAAGCAGGUUUGAAACAAGUUUGAGGUGAGUAAACUUCUUACUCUGUGACACUCUACUUUGGUAGGAAGAAAAUUUAAAGAGUAACACUUACCCUACUUAAGAGAGGGUAAAGAGCCUCUCCUAAGGCAGGGGAAAGAAAGGUGAGGGAGG